UACGUAGGGGGCAAGCGUUGUCCGGAAUUACUGGGCGUAAAGCGCACGUAGGCGGCUUUGCAAGUUAGAGGUGAAAGCCCGGGGCUCAACUCCGGAAUUGCCUUUAAAACUGCAUCGCUAGAAUUGUGGAGAGGUAAGUGGAAUUCCGAGUGUAGAGGUGAAAUUCGUAGAUAUUCGGAAGAACACCAGUGGCGAAGGCGACUUACUGGACACAUAUUGACGCUGAGGUGCGAAAGCGUGGGGAGCAAACAGG
rnacentral:rRNA from 1 species